UGAUCAAUUCAAAGCUACCACGCUUCACUCUAUUUUGACUUCAUAUUUCGACACAGGCGGCGAGGAAGCCUAGCGAGUUUUCAGUUUACAUUCAAGAACUCCGCUUUAUUGAGUCAUUUAUAAUUCGUGAAAAGUGAUAUCUACGAAAUGAGCGACGAAGAACGCCUACCGAAAAACCUACAAGGUUUGCUGCGAUUCGCAAUGCAAUACACCAGGAAUGAGGAUGCUCCCCAUGAAUCACAAUGGCAGCAGAUGGACCCAGAGCGCAAAAAGUUCCUGGAGGACGCCCUGAAAUCCAUGACCGUAGACGUUAUUGAAGAAUUCGAGAAGGCUCUGGAAGUGCUGAAUAAAAGUGAUGCUUCUUCUGAAGAACGUGUUGAUGCUUUGCAAAUAGUAGAGGACUAUGCAGAAAAUAUCGAUUUCGCAGAUAACUUCGUGAAAAUCGGAGGCACCGGGGUAGUUGUCGACUGCUUGAAGUCAGAUCUUUCCGAAGUCAGAGCAGCCGCUGCCUCGCUCAUUGCUGUGAUGUGCCAGAAUAAUAUUUAUUGCCAGAAACAUUUUUUGGAGAUUAACAUCAUACCGAAAUUGGUGGAACUGCUGUCGGAUGAACAAUCUGUGGCAGUGAAGGCGAUGCACGCAUUAUCGUGUAUGGUACGCAGUUAUGAGCCUUGUUUGGCUGCACUGAUAGAGAUCGGAGGAUUAGAGUGUAUUUUGGGCUGCUUAGGAUCAGGGGAAGAAAAGAUAAUGGUGAAAUCAGCAUUCCUGAUUGGAGCUUUGUCCAAAGAUCAUAAUGCAGUAAGGGAACAAUUUAUUAAGCUUGGAGCCAUUGAAAGACUAUCAGAAUAUUUGGAAGUUCCUGAUGAGUAUUGCUACCUAGUUGAAACAUUUCUUGAUGCCUUGAUGAUCCUAACAGAGCAAGAAGAUGUUGCUUCAGAGCAUUUAACGGGAAGGUUAAAAGAUAAAUUGGAAAAUAUUGUAAAUAAGACUAAAGGGAAACCUGAAUUCGAGGAAACAAUUGAGUACAGUAAAACUCUUCUAGCCAGAUGCUCUUCUGACACACUAGACGACACCGACAGAUAAAUAGGCUCAAAUAUUUUUGGUCAAAAAUACAGAAUUUUUCUCUAUUUAUUUCAAGGAAAAAUUCGCAUAUGAUAUGGUCCAAUCGACACUUGAAGCUGUUGUUGUCUAGCCAAAACACACACUUUGCUGAAGCACUGAUCAAGCGGGAAGAAAUAGAGAAGCGAAGAAGAAUGACAUCAACCCGUGCGA